rnacentral:rRNA from 1 species
AGUCGAGCGGAUCUUUCAAAGCUUGCUUUUGGAAGGUCAGCGGCGGACGGGUGAGUAACACGUGGGCAACCUGCCUGUGAGACUGGGAUAACUUCGGGAAACCGGAGCUAAUACCGGAUAAUAUAAGGAACCUCCUGGUUCUUUAUUGAAAGAUGGUUUCGGCUAUCACUCACAGAUGGGCCCGCGGCGCAUUAGCUAGUUGGUGAGGUAACGGCUCACCAAGGCGACGAUGCGUACCCGACCUGAGAGGGUGAUCGGCCACACUGGGACUGAGACACGGCCCAGACUCCUACGGGAGGCAGCAGUAGGGAAUCUUCCACAAUGGACGAAAGUCUGAUGGAGCAACGCCGCGUGAGCGAUGAAGGCCUUCGGGUCGUAAAGCUCUGUUGUUAGGGAAGAACAAGUGCGAGAGUAACUGCUCGCACCUUGACGGUACCUAACCAGAAAGCCACGGCUAACUACGUGCCAGCAGCCGCGGUAAUACGUAGGUGGCAAGCGUUGUCCGGAAUUAUUGGGCGUAAAGCGCGCGCAGGUGGUCCUUUAAGUCUGAUGUGAAAGCCCACGGCUCAACCGUGGAGGGUCAUUGGAAACUGGGGGACUUGAGUGCAGAAGAGGAAAGUGGAAUUCCAAGUGUAGCGGUGAAAUGCGUAGAGAUUUGGAGGAACACCAGUGGCGAAGGCG